UACAUAAUCAUUAGUCUUUUAAUUUGAGACUGGUAUGAAAGAGUAAACCAGGAGAAUUUUUUUUCAAUUGAAAAAAUGAAUUUAACUUUUUAGUAAGAAGGCUAAAAUAAAGCUUUUAGACAAGAAGACCCUAUAAAACUUUAUAUUUUUAUUUCUUAAAUGAAAGAAGAAGUAUUUUACUGGGGCGGUGGAGAAAAGUGACUUUCUUUAAUAUUAAGUGACAUACAUGUUUAAAUACCUAGAAUUUCUAAAUCAGGAAUAAGUUACUUUAGGGAUAACAGCUUAAUUUACUUAGAAAGAUCAAAUUGACAAGUGAGUUUAUGACCUCGAUGUUGAAUUAAAAGUCCUUUUUUGUGCAAAAGCUCUAAAA
rnacentral:rRNA from 1 species